rnacentral:rRNA from 1 species
AUUGAACGCUGGCGGCAUGCCUUACACAUGCAAGUCGAACGGCAGCACGGGAGCUUGCUCCUGGUGGCGAGUGGCGAACGGGUGAGUAAUACAUCGGAACGUACCCAGGAGUGGGGGAUAACGUAGCGAAAGUUACGCUAAUACCGCAUAUUCUGUGAGCAGGAAAGCGGGGGAUCGCAAGACCUCGCGCUCUUGGAGCGGCCGAUGUCGGAUUAGCUAGUUGGUGAGGUAAAAGCUCACCAAGGCGACGAUCCGUAGCAGGUCUGAGAGGAUGAUCUGCCACACUGGGACUGAGACACGGCCCAGACUCCUACGGGAGGCAGCAGUGGGGAAUUUUGGACAAUGGGGGCAACCCUGAUCCAGCCAUGCCGCGUGAGUGAAGAAGGCCU